rnacentral:rRNA from 1 species
CAUCGCCUCUUGACUGAAGAUAAGAGGUCCAGCCUGCCCAGUGACUAAAUUAAACGGCUGUGGUACUCUGACCACACAAAGGUAGCGUAAUCACUUGUUCCAUAAAUGGGGACUUGUAUCAACGGCAUCACGAGGGCUGUACUGUCUCCUUUCUCCAAUCAGUGAAACUGAUCUUCCCGUGAAGAAGCGGGAAUUAACUAAUAAGACGAGAAGACCCCAUGGAGCUUUAAACUCACUAUGCACCUCUGCCCACCUAUACCAUUUCAGCCUAUGAGACCUGCAUUAUAGCUUUAGGUUGGGGCGACCACGGAGUAAAAAUUAACCUCCACGACGAAAGGGCUACGCCCUUAUCCAAGAACAACAAUUCUAAGAAUCAACAGACUGAUGUUUAAUGACCCGAAUUUCGAUCAACGAACCAAGUUACCCUGGGGAUAACAGCGCAAUCUACUUCGAGAGCCCAUAUCAACAAGUAGGUUUACGACCUCGAUGUUGGAUCAGGGUAUCCCAGU